rnacentral:misc_RNA from 1 species
UAAUAAGUGUUUUUAUGGCACUUUUUUAAAUCCAUAUCCACCUUGUGUGCAAUGUCAGUCGAUCUUCUUCAUGGAGAUCGACCAAACAUCAACCUUUAUCUUUUAACUCUUUGUCUGAAAAAAUAUUAUGAAUAAACAAUUCAAAAUA